GGUUUUUUGUUCGGAGUUUGCUCUCCUAGGUGUAUUGCCUACCACGGCUGACGAGCUCCACCUGCCCGGGUUUGUUUAGAGUUUGCUCUCCUAGGUGAAUUGCCUCCCACGGCUGACGACCUCCACCUGCCCGGGUUUGUAUAGAGUUUGCUCUCCUAGGUGAAUUGCCUACCACGGCUAACGACCUCCACCUGCCCGGGUUUGUAUAGAGUUUGCUCUCCUAGGUGAAUUGCCUACCACGGCUAACGACCUCCACCUGCCCGGGUUUGUUUAGAGUUUGCUCUCCUAGGUGAAUUGCCUCCCACGGCUGACGAGCUCCACCUGCCCGGGUUUAUUGUUCGGAGUUUGCUCUCCUAGGUGAAUUGCCUACCACGGCUAACGACCUCCACCUGCCCGGGUUUGUUUAGAGUUUGCUCUCCUAGGUGAAUUGCCUACCACGGCUAACGAGCCUCACCUGCCCGGGUUUGUUUAGAGUUUGCUCUCCUAGGUGAAUUGCCUCCCACGGCUAACGACCUCCACCUGCCCGGGUUUGUUUAGAGUUUGCUCUCCUAGGUGAAUUGCCUACCACGGCUAACGACCUCCACCUGCCCGGGUUUGUUUAGAGUUUGCUCUCCUAGGUGAAUUGCCUACCACGGCUAACGACCUCCACCUGCCCGGGUUUGUUUAGAGUUUGCUCUCCUAGGUGAAUUGCCUACCACGGCUAACGACCUCCACCUGCCCGGGUUUGUUGUUCGGAGUUUGCUCUCCUAGGCAGAUUGCCUAC